rnacentral:misc_RNA from 1 species
AAGUCGUAACAAGGUUUCCGUAGGUGAACCUGCGGAAGGAUCAUCAUUGAAUCUAUAAUUACAAACCUUUGUGAAUCAUAUGUAUUAGAGUAUGUUUGGCAGGAUGAUGCGUGGGUGGCUGUUUGCUGCUCGUGCUCGCGUCUCUUCUUUGUGCUUUGCGCAAGGCUGAGUGCCUGCCAGCAUGCUCGUCUUUUAACAAACUUUUUUAAUUAUACACUGAUAAAACAUUAUUAAUAAAAACAACUUUCAACAAUGGAUCUCUUGGCUCUC